ACCGUGAUAAUGUAGCGUAAUCAAUAGCCAAUUAAUUGUUGGCCGGUAUGAAUGGCAUCACGAAGGCCCCACUGUCUUAAGAGGACUCUCCAUGAAAUUGAAUUCGUAGUGAAGAUGCUACGUCCAUAUUGUAAGACGAAAAGACCCCAUUGAGCUUUACUAAAGACUUGUAUGGCUCGAAAUAACUUAAAUAAAAAGUUUAGAUAAUGUGGGAUCCGUUUUUGGUUAAUGAAACACCACUCUUUUAUUUUAAGAGAGCUAACCUUGUAGGGAGAAUGCAAGUUGGAUAGUUUGGUUGGGGCGACCACCUUUUAAAAGGUAACGAAGGUGAGCUUAAGGUCCGUAGUUAAUAGCUAGUGGCCUGACUGCAAGGGGGACAUCCCGAGCAGACACUGGUAAUCUCUCAGUGGGUUAUAGUGACCCGUCAUCUUAGAGUGGAAUAGUUGACGAUCAACGAAUAAAAG
rnacentral:rRNA from 1 species